rnacentral:rRNA from 1 species
UACAGAGACUGCAAGCGUUAUUCGGAUUCACUGGGCGUAAAGGGUGCGCAGGCGGCCGGGUGUGUCAGAUGUGAAAUCCCGAGGCUCGACCUUGGAACUGCGUCUGAAACUACUCGGCUAGAGUACUGGAGAGGGUAACGGAAUUCACGGUGUAGCAGUGAAAUGCGUAGAUAUCGUGAGGAACACCAGAGGCGAAGGCGGUUACCUGGACAGUUACUGACGCUCAGGCACGAAAGCAUGGGGAGCAAAAAGGG